rnacentral:tRNA from 1 species
UAGCUCAGUUGGUAGAGCAUGAGACUCUUAAUCUCAGGGUCAUGGAUUCAGGCCCCCAU